rnacentral:lncRNA from 1 species
CAAAAGUGUAUACAAUAUGUUGUAGUUUGCAGUUUGCACCUUGUUGAGCAUCUUAGCAACUGAGUUGACUUGGGUGUUGUACUUGUAUAAAGGACAAAACCCCCUCAUUAUAGACUAAUGAGUGGAGCGCGUACACUCUCAAAAACAACAACACCAACCAUCUUAUACACAGAAUCAAACCAGGGUUCUUCUCACUUCACAAAUAUCUCAAACCCUUCAACCCA